UCAGUUUAGUGCAGCGAAUGGGCAUUGAUCCAGUUGUUACAGCAGAAUCUGUUUCUGGGGAAAAUGUUGGUGAAUAUAUGUUUACGUACUGAAACUGAAAAAUGAAGUUCAGCUUCUACUGUUUUAUAGACUUACUUUGUGCAGAAUGUCAUCUGAUGAGGAGAAAAGCACAAGUCCAGUUUUCCCAAAUGACUUUGUUCAGGACAGUUCUCUUUCUUCAGAUCCUCAGAUUUGUCACUGGAUGCUGUCUAUUGACACUUUCUGUUGGCGCGCAAGCGAUGAAUAUGAAGAGCUGUUUUGUUAUACUGCAAUGACUCCGAAGUUUGAGCAGUGUGUCUCAAAGUUGCUAGAACCUGCCUCAGCACAGAGACCACCUGAAAGAGUUUCCAGGUUAACAGAUUAUGCCAGUCACCAUAAUACUCCAGUCUCAACAUCAGUGAAGCAGGCUGGUAUGGAACAACCUGCUCUUCCAGAAGCAACUUCUUCCACACAUAGUUCAAGAGAAGUCAGCAAAACCACAGUGACUGAAUUAACUUCACCAGAUGGAAAUGUGACUCAGAUAGAAAAUAUAGUUGAUCUCUGGAGUGGAAAUCUUAAGACAAAUAUUCUGACUGAACUGAAAAAUUGGGAACUUAAUUUGAUUCAACAUCACAAGCUUCAAAUGAAACAAGAGAAAGAGAAACAUGCCACACAAGUGAAACAACUGCAGAAUGAGAUUGAAAACCUGAAAGAGUUACUUCAUACUUAUGAAAUCUCUAUUAGCAGGAAAGAUGAGGUAAUUACAAACUUGACCCAAGCAUUAGAAAAGCAAAAGCAGAGAGUAAUGUUGAUGAGAAAGUUUACACUGUGGCGGAUUCAGCAUGUUAAAGCCAAACAAGAGGAAUAUGCAAUUAGAAUGGCAGAUACACAUUUCCAGACAGCUUUGAUGAAGAAAGUGUGGGCCGCAUGGCGCUCUGUUAGUGAAGAAAGAUGGAAAGACAAAGUAGCAAGAGCCUGUCAGUUAAGGGCAGAAGAUGUGUGUGUUCAGCUCACCAAUGAUUAUGAAGAGAAAAUUGCAGAGUUAACUGCUGCUUUGGAACUGACAAGAGCUGAGAUUCUGCGACUGCAUACUGAAAGAGAUCAUUAUGAAGACACCAUGAAGAAAGCCUUUAUGCGUGGUGUAUGUGCUUUGAAUCUGGAAGCCAUGACCAUGUUCCAAAGCAAGGAAAAUAGCCCAGAUCCUGAUACAGGAAGCAGGAGAAAUGAUCACGCUGCCACUGGUGCAGGAAGGCCACCUCCUUCACAAUAUAAUCAACCCCCACCACCACCUCCACCAGCAGCUGCUCUUCAGACAGAAAACAUGUUUUGUUGCCACUUGGCUCAUGCAAGCACUCCUGAGACCAGGCUAGAUUCUGAUUCUCCAGUUAUUGUCACUAGCACGACAUCAGGAUCUGGUGUGACAUCAACACAAAAACUGCCCAUGCCAAAAGUAAUAACAUCUGCACAACAGAAAGCAGGAAGAACAAUCACUGCUCGAAUCACAGGUCGAGCUGAUAUGGGACAAAAAUCCAGAGCGUCUGGGGGUUUAGCAGUGAUGGGAGUUGCUCCACCCAUGAGUUCAGUUAUUGUUGAGAAGCACCAUCCAGUCACUCAGCAAACCAUAUCACAAGCCACUGCUGCUAAGUAUCCUCGAACUGUGCUUCAUUCUUCUGGCUCUACCACUGCGAGACCUGCAGGACAAGCUGGGCGAGUGCUUCAAACUCAUACCAGUGUUCAGUCAAUAAAAGUUGUUGACUGACUGAUAUCUUGCUCACCAGUAGGGGUUUUUAAUCAAGAUGGUAAGCUGGCUCACAGAACAAAAAGAAAAUUACUUUCUCAUUGGACCUGAAAGGAGCACAACUGCAAGAUGAUGCUUCAUGGGUAUAGAAGGAGCCACAGUUAUUCAAAGCCAUUGCUGCAACACCAGCUGCCGAGGCAGAACAUCAUCUCAGGGUUUAAGUAUCCAUCUGAAUGGAUCUGGAAUGUCACCAUGAUUCUCAGAUGACCUGGAGUGCUAAAGGGAAAACUCUCCAUCACUGCACCUGUGAAGCUGCAUCUCUUCUGGCACUGAGCCUGGCUGCAGAUGCACAAUUACAAGGAGCCACAAGACAUUUUCCCCUCUGCAAGCCAUAUUUUCCAUGAAAAAUUUCUGGAAUGUCUCCAUCUCUUUGGGAGCCCCCCAGGAACCCUGGCCAGCCCCGACAAGGCUGACAGCGGGGGGACACUCUCUGGUGCCCCAAGGGUACCAAGACACCUAGGCUAGUCACCUUUGCAGCAGAGGCAGAGGAUGAAAGGGCUGACUCUUAGCAGGGGUUAAUCCAAGGUUUUAUUCGGAGCUCGUGGAUGCUCCCACACCUCAGGGGGCCUCCUGCUCAGAGUGUCCGGGAGAGGUGCCAAGGUUGCAUUUAAAGGGAGGUAUAAACCAAAAAAGCAGAUAAAUUUGCUGACCAAUAAAGAAACUUCAGGGGUGAAAACUUAGGGAAGGGACAUUUGGUAAGCAUAUAGGGUAGCACUCGGGGAGUUGACCCCUGGUCUCUGGCUAUUCACUCGAUGGCCUGGACUGAAAAUUCUAGAUAGAAAGGAUGGGAUGCUGAGUGACUGACAGACAGCUAGGGUGGGGAUUUCGGGAUGACCUCAACAAAGGAGGGGGAAUACACAGGUAGAGGGAGGAGGUACAAUCAGGGGUAAACCAUUUGUGAAAAAUAAGGAGAUACAAAAACAAAACCAUUAAAAAGUAUAAACACAUUACAACACUGGAUGCAGUGUUUGUCUUUCAAACCACAGAGCUUGGGAGCUUUACAGCUCUUUACCAAAACCAUCAGAUCUGUACAUGCUGCAGGCAUAGCAAUAUUAAAAUACUUCCUUUGUAGUUAGCUUUACUUAGCAAACAAAAUUCGCAACAUGUGCUUUAUGCACCUGUGUAAGGAAGAUUAUAGAACAAAAAAUAAAAUAAUGUAAUCCUUA